UAGGCGCGAAAAGAGUCGGCUUUCUUUAGCAAAGCAGGAGAGAAACAGCAGCAGCGGUACUCCUCCCUCGCGUAUCUCCAAGUUUCCGCCUGUGAUUGUGAGCUGCCGUACGUGUUUCGCGCGCGCGUGUGUGUGUGUGUGUGCCUCCCUUCAUUCAUACCAUAAGUGGAACCCACCCCCGCUCAUGUUCCGCCGUGUAGUCGCUCCGGCGCCGGUGGCGGCCACCGCAGCCUGCGCUGGGCAGGCUCGCAGCAUCUACGAGUACAAGUUCGGUCAGACCCCCCUCACCCAACCGUUUGGCGGAACCUCUCGCCUGCCGCCUGGCCCCUCGUCGAAGCCUGCCCCGGUUGCUGCCGGGAAGGUGGAGAUCACGAAGCUGCACAACGGCGCGCGCGUCAUCACGCACAACCUCGGUGGACCGUCGGUGUCCGUUGGUGCCUACAUACUCGCCGGCCCCGCCUACGACCCACCGAGCGCGCCGGGCACGGGAGCCAUGAUGCACCUUGCCCUGACGACGAGCAACUACAAUAAUUCGCUGUUCCAGCUUGACCGCAACAUUCGCAGUGUCGGCGCCGCCCAGUCGCACUUCGAGAAGCACAAGCACUACAUCGGCAUUCGCAUCGACGCCCGCGCCGACAAGUGGAAGAGCGCCGCGCCGACGUCAUCUCUUUCACAGCGGCGGCAGCUGCAGAACCAGAAGCAAGCGGAGCAGCAGUUCUCGUUGAAUCUGGUGCAGGACAACAUCUUUACCUGCAUCGCCGCGCCCCGCUUCCACGAGCCGGAUGUGGAGCGCUUCCGUGACACCAUUGACAACCAGGUCGAGGAGCUCCGCUGGCAAUGCCCAGCCGAGUACGCGAAGCAGAUGCUGGAGACGGUCGCCUUCUACCGUGAGCCGCUCGGCAACCCUCGCUUCGUGCCGGCGAUGAGCAACGGCAUCAUUUCGAGCAGCGUACUGCUGGAGCAGUACAGCCGCUACGUCGUGCCGUCGCGCGUCGUCGUCUCCGGCGUCAACGUCGAUCACGCCGCGCUGAUUGCCGAGUACGAGAACACCCCGUUCCCACACUCCGCCUCCGCACCGCACCACGCCCGCGCGCAGCCGUGCGCGGUGAACUGGAAGGAUGAGGCCGCUCAGUACACCGGGGGCGAGCGCCACGACCACGAGGACCGCCCCAAGGUAAUGGGAACGAAGCCGGACAUGGACCCGGAGUCCAUCAUCGCCGUCGGCUGGCUCGCGUACGGCAAAGACAGGAAGAUGACGAAGGACCACGCCGCCUCGAUGGUCGUGGGGGCGCUGAUGGACAUCGGGUUCAGCGGCCGCAUGCGCUGCGGCGCCCCGGAUGAAAUGCACGAGCACACGGGCCUGCGCGCCUUCUACAGCCCCUACCAAACGGCUGGCCUGAUCGGCUUCACGGCGAAGGCAGAGCCGCAGGCAGCGGUGCGCAUGGUGACGGACGCUGUGAGGAUGGUGCAAGCAAACAAGGCCUCUGUCGCGGACUCGAUGCUGUCCGUGGCGAAAAAAAUGGCGAGAACGCAGUUCAUGGUGCAGAAUGUCGACACCAUUCGCGACUACUGCGACUACCUUGGCACCUGCCUCGCCGUGGAUAGCGACUCGACCCUAGCCACAUCGGUCGAAGAGGUUGUCGACGCCAUCAACUCUGUCAACGCGGUGGAUGUGAAGCGGGUGUACGAGACGAUGUUCUCGAACAAGACCAGCCUGUACGGCCACGGCGAGAUGCUCGGCUUCCCUUCCAUGCGCCAGAUGGGUCUGUAGGCACACCGAAAAGCGAAACGAACGAGCGUAUGGGAAGCUUAGAGUACGCGCGUCAGGCGCCUCCGGGUGAAGGAGUGCAGGAUCGAUCCCGUGUUGUCGUGUGUAUGUUUGGGUGUGUCGGUGUGUCGAGGUUGUGGUUGGCGGUGGUAGUGGUGGCAUCCGAUGCUCUGCCCACACCCUCCCUCUCUCCCUCGGUCGGGGAUGAAAACGCGCGCUGCCGCGGCCUCGUUCUAAGUGUGUUAGUCUCGUAUAUACAUAUAUGUGUGUGCCUUUCUCUUACGACUUAGGUGAUAGUACUUCAUUAACCUCCCUCCCUCCCACCUCGCCCCACCCCCACCCACCCCUCAGCGCUACAUAUGGGGAGGGGGGCUCCCCUCGUGUGCCGCGGCGAUUGGCUGUGCUGUAGCAGCGUACUCCGCUUGCCACUCCGACGAAGAAACAAAAACAACAACGAGAGAAACGAAUAAGGAUGAGGCUCUUGAAAGGGAAGACAGCGCGGUAGAGGGGUGGGUGGUAGUGGGUAGGUGGUUGGUGGGGGAGCAUGGUGACGUGGGAGGGGCUCAUGAUCAACAAAACAGGUUUCGCUCUUAGUGAAGUCCUUGCGUCACGCCUCUCCCCGGCCUCCCUUCACGUGCGCGGGGGAGUGCUGAGGUAUGUGUGGAGGGGGCGGUUCACAGAUGGCGAAGGAAAAUUAGGCUGGCUAAGCGCGUGGCCCAUAGUGCACGGAAACAUGAACAAUGUAGCAAAAGCGUAACGAGCAAGUGCAGCAACGCAAGUCAGAACAAAAGCGAAACGCAGCAGUCGCUUCUUAGCGGAAAAACAUCGAGGAGAGAGUGCCAGGGGGAGGGGUGGGGGGCUGCGUGCGCACACGCGCGCACGUACUGUGUGUGUGUGUGUGUGUUUGGGUAAGUUGGAGUUCGCUUGACACGCUGAAGCGUGUGGCAAGCAAAUAUUGGCGCGUCUCUCUGUCUUUCGCGCCCGCGUUCGUGGUGGUGAACAAGG
rnacentral:misc_RNA from 1 species